rnacentral:rRNA from 1 species
AUUGAACGCUGGCGGCAUGCCUUACACAUGCAAGUCGAACGGCAGCACGGGUGCUUGCACCUGGUGGCGAGUGGCGAACGGGUGAGUAAUACAUCGGAACAUGUCCUGUAGUGGGGGAUAGCCCGGCGAAAGCCGGAUUAAUACCGCAUACGAUCUACGGAUGACAGCGGGGGACCUUCGGGCCUCGCGCUAUAGGGUUGGCCGAUGGCUGAUUAGCUAGUUGGUGGGGUAAAGGCCUACCAAGGCGACGAUCAGUAGCUGGUCUGAGAGGACGACCAGCCACACUGGGACUGAGACACGGCCCAGACUCCUACGGGAGGCAGCAGUGGGGAAUUUUGGACAAUGGGCGAAAGCCUGAUCCAGCAAUGCCGCGUGUGUGAAGAAGGCCUUCGGGUUGUAAAGCACUUUUGUCCGGAAAGAAAUACUUGGCUCUAAUACAGUCGGGGGAUGACGGUACCGGAAGAAUAAGCACCGGCUAACUACGUG